rnacentral:tRNA from 1 species
AGUUUAUAGUUCUAUAAGGGAAUUUUCCACUUACACUGGAAGGGCUUCUGUGCAAUCCAGGAUUAACUGAU